rnacentral:rRNA from 1 species
AUGAACGCUAGCGGCAGGCUUAACACAUGCAAGUCGAGGGGCAGCGCUGGGUGGCAACACCCUGGCGGCGACCGGCGGAAGGGUGCGUAACACGUGAGCAACUUGCCCGUAUCCGGGACAUAACCGGCGGAAACGCCGACUAAUUUCCCAUGACAGCGGGGGCCGCAUGGCCCUGGUUUGAAAGACACGUCGGAUGCGGAUGGGCUCGCGGGACAUUAGCUGGUUGGAGUGGUAACGGCACACCAAGGCUACGAUGUCUAGGGGUUCUGAGAGGAAGGUCCCCCACACUGGAACUGAGACACGGUCCAGACUCCUACGGGAGGCAGCAGUGAGGAAUAUUGGUCAAUGGGCGGAAGCCUGAACCAGCCAUGCCGCGUGAAGGAAUGAGGCCCUACGGGUCGUGAACUUCUUUUGUGGCGGAGCAAUAAGGGCCACGUGUGGUCCGACGAGAGUACGUCACGAAUAAGCACCGGCUAACUCCGUGCCAGCAGCCGCGGUAAUACGGAGGGUGCAAGCGUUAUCCGGAUUUAUUGGGUUUAAAGGGUGCGUAGGCUGUCCGACAAGUCAGGGGUGAAAGCCCGGCGCCCAACGCCGGAACCGCCCUUGAUACUGCCGGGCUGGAAUGCGGAUGCCGUGGGAGGAAUGAGUAGUGUAGCGGUGAAAUGCAUAGAUAUUACUCAGAACACCGAUUGCGAAGGCAUCUCACGAAUCCGCCAUUGACGCUGAGGCACGAAAGCGUGGGUAGCGAACAGGAUUAGAUACCCUGGUAGUCCACGCAGUAAACGAUGAUGACUAACCGUCGGCGAUACACUGCCGGUGGCCAAGCGAAAGCGAUAAGUCAUCCACCUGGGGAGUACGUUCGCAAGAAUGAAACUCAAAGGAAUUGACGGGGGCCCGCACAAGCGGAGGAACAUGUGGUUUAAUUCGAUGAUACGCGAGGAACCUUACCCGGGCUCGAACGGCAGCUGAACGAGGCGGAGACGCCGAGGCCCUCCGGGGCGGCUGUCGAGGUGCUGCAUGGUUGUCGUCAGCUCGUGUCGUGAGAUGUUGGCUUAAGUGCCAUAACGAGCGCAACCCUUGCCGCCAGUUACCAUCAAGUGAAGUUGGGGACUCUGGCGGGACUGCCACCGCAAGGUGCGAGGAAGGCGGGGAUGACGUCAAAUCAGCACGGCCCUUACGUCCGGGGCGACACACGUGUUACAAUGGCGGCUACAGAGGGAUGCCACCCCGCGAGGGGGAGCGGAUCUCGAAAGGCCGUCUCAGUUCGGAUCGGAGUCUGCAACCCGACUCCGUGAAGCUGGAUUCGCUAGUAAUCGCGCAUCAGCCAUGGCGCGGUGAAUACGUUCCCGGGCCUUGUACACACCGCCCGUCACACCACGAGAGUUUGUAACACCCGAAGUCGGUGAGGUAACCUUUUUGGAGCCAGCCGCCUAAGGUGGGAUAGAUGAUUGGGGUG